UUGUUUGUUGACCUUGGGUGUCAGGCGUGAAGAAUGUGUAACUGGUGGUCUUGCUAUCUUGUAAUAAUUUAAGUGUUAUGAGAAAUCUAGUUUUACUGAUGGCCAAUUCAGUUCAUAUAACAGUCACUGAAGAGAUCCCCCAGCAAUAUUCAUCAAUCUGGAGCUCUUACGCAGCAGUAAAUGUAGCAAGAGCUGUGCCAAGUGUGCAACUCCACAGCAAAAUAAAAUGACAGCUUACUAAAUGAAGUAAAGCCAAUUAGUUUUAAGUUCAUGUUUCUGUCCUUUGAAAGUAUAUAAUAGCUAAAAGUCAAAGCUAAUAGUGAGAUUACAGGUGCAUCUCAAUGAAUUAGAAUGGAAACGUUAAUUUAUUUCAGUAAUUCAACUCAAAUUGUGACACUUGUGUAUUAAAUUGGUUUUUUUUAAUUUUUUUUAUUGUGAUGAUUUUGGCUGACAUUUGACAAAAACCCACCAAUUCAAUCCCAACAAAUUAGAAUACCUCAUAAGACUGAUAAAAAAUAAAAUAAAUGUUUCUCGCUGACGAUCGGUAACAGUUGAUAAAUGAAACUUUUCCCAAAACCUAUCGCGAGUAGCGCUACAACAUCACCUCCAUUCAAAAUGUAAAACAAACUCUCUGCGAAUAGCAUCCCAUUCACUGUAAAAAAUGACUGAUGCAAAAAGUUGUACAAAUGAGGAAAUACAUGUUGGCUCAACAUAAUGGUUGUGUCAAAAAAGAAAAAUAUGUUUGGUCAAUGAUAGCAUGAUUUCCAUGAAAGUACUACAAAAUGUUCAUCAAGAGAAAAUAAAUAAUUGUGUUGAGAGAACUUUUAACGUUGCACAAAAAAUAUUAUGUUGGCCGAGCAAGAGGGAACAGCGUCAAUCGUCUGAGCAUGCGCAAAGGAGUUCUACCAGGUGCAGGCAGCAGGCUGGAGUUUCCCCCCACCACGAUUCACGACAUUACACUGGUGAGUACUUUGUGCUGCGAGUUAAUGAGCAAAUUUAGGUUAAGAAUAUAUCGAUUGUCUAUCAACAAAGUUUGAAAUAGCUUUAUUGUGAGUACCUACAGUGAUUAGCAGUGCUGGAAAAUAACAUGUUUAACACAUAAAGCUUAGCAUUCCUUUCCAACUGGCAUGUGAUUUAAAGUCGACCCUAACGGUUAAGCAUGACAUGUUCCCGUUUAAUAUUUUUAAUGGUCAAUAUUUUCAAAUUCCAUUUACAUUUUGGCUUAUGAUAUGUAUGAUAAUUGACUGUAACAGACAGCUAGUCUUGACAACUUGUGCUUUUGCUAUACAGAGCGACUGAUAAUUUAGGCUAACGUUAGUUCUAACAGUUAGUUGGCAUUCAAAGCAUGUGUGCCUUCAUGUUAGCAGCUAGUACUUUGCACAAAGCUUCCUUUUGCAAGAACGAAAUAACAUUUCAGUCCGAUAAAAAUAAAUAAAUAAAUAAAAAUUUGUGCUAACACGCAAAUGAAUAGCUGCUAAUGUUAUCAGAUUUGUAAGUUGUUUAACGUUAUCAGUUUGCCAACAUGUUUCCGUUUAAUAUUUUUAAUGGUCAAUAUUUUCAAAUUCCAUUUGCAUUUUGGCUUAUUAUAUAUUUGAUAAUUGACUGUAACAGACAGUUAGUAUUGACAACUUAUGCUUUUGCUAUCACAGAGUGACUGAUAAUUUAGGCUAGGAAAUAAUUUGCUUUGCUUUUAAUUGUUUGCUUCUGAAUCUUUCAUUACGCACAGGUUUGCAUCUACCGUAUUGGGGUAACCGUGAAGUUAGCCAUUCCUGACAGCGCUGGACAAUCACACCCAGGGGUUGCUAAAGAUGUACAGAACCAAAGCAAGACAGGGAAGGUGAAACAACUUGGAUGAACUUCUGGAACAACUGGAUGCCCAGCAGAAGAAAGAAAUUCAUAAAGGUUUGAAACAACAUGAGGGUAACUAUUUCAUGAAGUUGAAAUGAUGCCCAAUGGUGAAAAGAACCACAGAUCUAACUACUUAUAGAAGGUCUUCUGUUCUUCAUGGUCUUCCACUGUACUUGAGAGAGCCAGCUUCAAUUUCAAAGACUAUUAAGGAUACUGAGGCACUGGGGCCACACACAAAGGCCAUGAAAAUGGGGAUCCUGGAAGUGACUGACAGUUCUACCAACUCAGGACCAUAUCCCACAGUGGUCGAUGUGGCUGUAGUACUGGAGGAGGAAGCUGUCAUGGAAAAUCUGGGAGACUUCACAAAUGCCCUCAUGAUGCUUGUUUUGGCACUGGUUGAAUACUUGUGUAAUAUUUUACUUGAGCCUAACAGGCAAGUUCAUAUGUAUUUAAAUAAAUACAUAAAAUCUUCUUUAUCAAA